rnacentral:rRNA from 1 species
AUUGAACGCUGGCGGCAGGCCUAACACAUGCAAGUCGAGCGGAUGAAGGGAGCUUGCUCCUGGAUUCAGCGGCGGACGGGUGAGUAAUGCCUAGGAAUCUGCCUGGUAGUGGGGGAUAACGUCCGGAAACGGGCGCUAAUACCAUACGUCCUGAGGGAGAAAGUGGGGGAUCUUCGGACCUCACGCUAUCAGAUGAGCCUAGGUCGGAUUAGCUAGUUGGUGGGGUAAAGGCCUACCAAGGCGACGAUCCGUAACUGGUCUGAGAGGAUGAUCAGUCACACUGGAACUGAGACACGGUCCAGACUCCUACGGGAGGCAGCAGUGGGGAAUAUUGGACAAUGGGCGAAAGCCUGAUCCAGCCAUGCCGCGUGUGUGAAGAAGGUCUUCGGAUUGUAAAGCACUUUAAGUUGGGAGGAAGGGCAGUAAGUUAAUACCUUGCUGUUUUGACGUUACCAACAGAAUAAGCACCGGCUAACUUCGUG